CUUCUCUCUCUAACAGUUUCUCUUUCUCUCACACACCCCAUUUAGUUGGCCGGAGUGGGGGCACUGGUCUGCUCAUUUCUAACAAUUGGAAAUACUCAACCCACUCUCCUCUAUGCAAUUAUAACUCAUUUGAAUCUCAUGUGAUCACUGUAACAGCUCCUAUAGAACUCCAGUUUGUGGUAAUUUACCGCCCUCCUGGGCAAAUUCUAUCCACCUUCCUAGAGGAGCUGGAUGUGCUGCUGUCCUUAUUCCCGGAGGAUGGCAGUCCACUUUUAGUCUUUGUCGACAUUAACAUUCAUCUGGACAAGCCUUAUGGUACAGACUUCCAUUCAACCCUUGCUUCUUUCGAUCUCAAACAACUUACAACUUCAAGCACACACAAAUCAGACAACCAGUUUGACUUAAUUUACACACGCAAUUGUAUUGCAGACAAUAUUCUGGUAAAACCCCUACAUAUCUCUGUCCAUUUCUUCAUUACAUUUAAACUACAUUUUGCUACCUGUGUGCCACCAACCCCUCUACCAGUUACUUUUAGACAAAACCUAUGCUCCCUUUCCUCCUCCCAUCUUUCCUCUGUAGUAUCCUCCUCUCUUCCCUCACCUUCCCAUUUCUCAUCUCUGGAUGUGAAUGCAGUAACUGACACUUUAUGCUCUACUUUAACCUCUUGUCUAGAUAUUUGUCCUCUCUCCUCCAGGCCAGCAUGGGCUGCCUCUUCUAACCCCUGGUUAUCCGAUGUUCUUUGUAAGCAUCGGACCAAACUCAGGGCAGCAGAGGGAAAAUGGUGCAAAUCAAAAGAUCUGUCAGACCUGAGUAUGUAUCAGUCUUUGCUUUCAUCUUUCUCUGCCGAAGUCCAUACUGCCAAAAACUUCAUACUUCCACAACAAGAUCAACAGCGCCCCAGACACACAUAAUGCCCCCCUUCACCACCUCCCACCACUUCUAUAACAGAUUUUGCCACGUUCUUCAUAGACAAAACCAGAACAAUCAGUAGUUAAUUCUCAGCACAACACACACAAGACCUCAA
ensembl:lncRNA